rnacentral:rRNA from 1 species
GUGUCAGCCGCCGCGGUAACACGUAGGGGGCGAGCGUUGUCCGGAAUUACUGGGCGUAAAGGGUGCGUAGGCGGCAUAUCAAGUCAGGUGUGAAAUCCCACGGCUUAACCGUGGACUUGCACAUGAAACUGGUAUGCUUGAGUACAGGAGAGGAAAGCGGAAUUCCUAGUGUAGCGGUGAAAUGCGUAGAUAUUAGGAGGAACACCAGUGGCGAAGGCGGCUUUCUGGACUGUAACUGACGCUGAGGCACGAAAGCGUGGGGAGCAAACAGGAUUAGAUACCCUGGUAGUCCACGCUGUAAACGAUGGAUACUAGGUGUAGGGGCUAAAGUCUCUGUGCCGGAGUUAACGCAUUAAGUAUCCCGCCUGGGGAGUACGGCCGCAAGGCUGAAACUCAAAUAAAUUGACGG